rnacentral:rRNA from 1 species
UUUACACGGCGAGACCGCGGACGGCUCAUUAAAUCAGUCGUGGUCCAUAUGGGCUAGAGUUAAACCUACUUGGAUAACUGUGGUAAUUCCAGAGCUAAUACAUGCUACUCUUAUCCUGAGGUAGCGCGGCUUUCGGGUCGUAGCGCUGACGGAUGCUUUUAUUAGACCAAACCGCUGGGUGCUUGCGCUUUCCUUCGGGAUUGUGCUCGCUCUGACCCGUUUAAUGGUGACUCUGGAUAACCUUUUUGACAAGCGCACGUACUCUUUUAGGGACGGCGCUGCCACUUUCGAGUGUCUGCCUUAUCAGCUAUCAACCGUUCGUUAUGCGCGCACGAUGGCUUUGACGGGUAACGGGGAAUCAGAGUUCGAUUCCGGAGAGGCAGCCUGAGAGACGGCUACCACGUCCAAGGACGGCAGCAGGCACGCAAAUUACCCAAUCCCAGCAUCUGGGGGAGGUAGUGACGAAAUAUAACAAUGCGGGCGCCCUUUUUGGGGCCCCGCAAUUGGAAUGGCCACUUUCUAAACAACCUGUCGAGAACCUACUGAAGGGCAAGUCUGGUGCCAGCAGCCGCGGUAAUUCCAGCUUCAGUAGCAUCUAUUAAAGUUGCUGCGGUUAAAAGGCUCGCAGUUGAAUGUCAGUAUCGGGCGCAGGUCAGGUGGACGCUGGGACGUGAACACUAAAGGCGGCUCAGUGUGCGGCUGUGCGUCUCUGUGUCGACAAUCUAACGAGCGUCGUGCGAGUGUGCGGCUGUGCGUCUCUGUGUCGACAAUCUAACGAGCGUCGUGCGGGGGGUGUGCUUUCGUGUGCUGUUUCGUUGUUCACAUGUCCCCGUCCGUUACAAGCCUCCUCGCUUGUGUACAUAACGGAAUCUGUAUACGGAGUGCAUUGUGUAGCGCUUCGUGGUGGUGUGUGCCGGUGCCCCUUAAUUGAGGUGUCGCGCGCGCUGCUGCGGAGUAUAGGCGCGCGUGCGUUAAGCUCCAACGUUUCUAUGGUCACCCUGAGUAAAUCAGAGUGCUUAAAGCAGUCGUAGGGGCCUUGUGCCCUUUGAACAGUCUUGACGGACUGACUUGGUUUUGCAUGGUAUGUCGUAAGACGACGUCUAGCGCUGGCUCAGAGUUUUUACAGUGGUACAAGCCAGCCUAGACGUAAUGAUUAAAAGGAACAGUCGAGGGCACUGGUAUUGCGAGGCGAGAGGUGAAAUUCUAUGACCCCCGCAAGACCUCCUGAAGCGAAAGCGUCUGCCAAGGAUGUUUUCAUUAAUCAUGAACGAAAGUUAGAGGAUCGAAGGCGAUCAGAUACCGCCCUAGUUCUAACCCUAAACGAUGCCAACCACCAAUCCGCGUGUAGCACCCUUUUUAACGGGCUCGGCGGGCAGCUCUCUAUUCACGGGAAACCAGAGUCUCUGGGUUCCGGGGGGAGUCUGGUUGCAAAGCUGAAACUUAAAGGAAUUGACGGAAAGGCACCACCAGGCGUGGAGCCUGCGGCUUAAUUUGACUCAACACGGGCCAUCUCACCAGGCCAGCACUCUUGUACGAUUGACAGAUUGAGAGCUCUUUCUCGAUUUAGUGGAUGGUGGUGCAUGGCCGUUCUUAGUUGGUGGAGUGAUCUGUCUGGUUAAUUCCGAUAACGAACGAGACUCUCCCCUGCUAACUAGUCGGUUGGAUCUUGAUCGCAAUUUAUUUUGCAUCGCUACGAGUUGUUCCCCGGGUCACUCUGGGCGUUGCGGUGCGUGUGUGCGGUGCUCGUGCGUUGUUGUGCCUUCGGGUGCUCUCGCGCUUGUGCUGUGUGUGCGUUGCUGUGCGUCUAGAGCCUUGGAUCGUUCACUCCAAGUCCGCCGCUUAUGAUUAAAAUUCUUCUUAGAGGGAUUCACGGUACUGAAACCGUAAGAGACUGAGAGCAAUAACAGGUCUGUGAUGCCCUUAGAUGUUCUGGGCCGCACGCGCGCUACAAUGCCGGGCACAGCAGGUAUUUUUCCUACUCCGACAGGAGCGGGUAACCCUGUGAAAGCCCUUGUUCUUAUAUAUAAUGCGUUUGGUUUCGGCCAAACGUUACUGGCGUGAUUGGGCCUGGGUCUUGCAAUUUUUUCCCACAAACGAGGAAUGCCUUGUAGCGGCGAGUCACUGAGCUCGCCGUGACUCAGUCCCUGCCCUUUGUACACACCGCCCGUCGCUACUACCGAUUGGGUGUACCAGUGAGAGCCUUGGACUGGCGUCCGUUGUCUCCUUUAUUGCG